rnacentral:rRNA from 1 species
CCUACGGGGGGCAGCAGUGGGGAAUAUUGGACAAUGGGGGAAACCCUGAUCCAGCGAUGCCACGUGAGUGAUGAAGGCCUUAGGGUUGUAAAGCUCUUUCAGUUGGGAAGAUGAUGACGGUACCAACAGAAGAAGCCCCGGCUAACUUCGUGCCAGCAGCCGCGGUAAUACGAAGGGGGCGAGCGUUGUUCGGAAUUACUGGGCGUAAAGGGCGCGUAGGCGGUUGCGUAAGUUAGGUGUGAAAUCCUUAGGCUCAACCUAAGAACUGCAUUUAAUACUGCGUAUCUAGAGUAUAGGAGAGGAUAAUGGAAUUUCAGGUGGAGAGGUAAAAUUCUUAGAUAUCUGAAGGAACGUCGGAAGCGAAGGCUGUUAUCUGGAAUAUUACUGACGCUGAGGCGCGAAAGCGUAGGUAGCAAACAGGAUUAGAUACCCUGGUAGUCUACGCCCUAAACUAUGAAUGCUAGAUGUUGGGAGAUUAAUCUUUCAGUGUCGUAGUUAACACGUUAAGCAUUCCGCCUGGGGAGUACGGUCGCAAGAUUAAAACUCAAAGAAAUUGACGGGGGCCCGAACAAGCGGUGGAGCAUGUGGUUUAAUCCGCCGGUCCGCGCAAAACCUUACCCACCCUUGACAUACUAGUUGUGUAGCUUUAGAAGGCUACUUCAGUUCGGCUGGGCUAGUACAGGUGUUGCAUGGCUGUCGUCAGCUCGUGUCGUGAGAUGUUGGGUUAAGUCCCGCAACGAGCGCAACCCCUAUCUUUAGUUGCUAACAGGUUAUGCUGAGGUCUCUGAAGAGACUGCCAGUGUUGAACUGGAGGAAGGUGGGGAUGACGUCAGGUUGUCAUGGCCUUUAUGGGUGGGGCUACACACGUGCUACAAUGGUGACUACAAAGAGUAAUCUUAAAAAGUCAUCUCAGUCCGGAUUGCAUUCUGAAACUCGAGUGCAUGAAGUUGGAAUCGCUAGUAAUCGCAGAUCAGCACGUUGCGGUGAAUACGUUCUCGGGCCUUGUACACACCGCCCGUC